UACGUAGGGGGCAAGCGUUGUCCGGAAUCAUUGGGCGUAAAGAGCGCGUAGGCGGUCCGGUAAGUCCGCUCUGAAAGUCGGGGGCUCAACCCUCGAAUGCCGGUGGAUACUGUCGGGCUAGAGUGCGGAAGAGGCGAGUGGAAUUCCUGGUGUAGCGGUGAAAUGCGCAGAUAUCAGGAGGAACACCAAUUGCGAAGGCAGCUCGCUGGGACGUUACUGACGCUGAGACGCGAAAGCGUGGGGAGCAAACAGG
rnacentral:rRNA from 1 species